rnacentral:ncRNA from 1 species
CUUCUAUCAGUGCAAACUGUCCGUGAGGGCAGGACGCAAAGCUACGGGGCUUUAUGCACUCACUUCUUCCUAACAUCCCCCCUUUUUUUAAGGGGGGGGCCUGGGGAGGUGAUGGGUAGUUAGACAAACCAAGCCAGCGGGCUGCCGAG